UGUCCGGACGAUUUCCAGAGAUGGAUUUCUUCCCUUCGGGGACUGGAACACAGGUGCUGCAUGGCUGUCGUCAGCUCGUGUCGUGAGAUGUUGGGUUAAGUCCCGCAACGAGCGNAACCCUCGCCUUUAGUUACCAUCAUUCAGUUGGGGACUCUAAAGGAACCGCCGGUGAUAAGCCGGAGGAAGGUGGGGAUGACGUCAAGUCCUCAUGGCCCUUACGCGCUGGGCUACACACGUGCUACAAUGGCGGUGACAGUGGGCAGCAAACUCGCGAGAGUGCGCUAAUCUCCAAAAGCCGUCUCAGUUCGGAUUGUUCUCUGCAACUCGAGAGCAUGAAGGCGGAAUCGCUAGUAAUCGCGGAUUAGCAUGCCGCGGUGAAUACGUUCCCAGGCCUUGUACACACCGCCCGUCACACCAUGGGAGUUGGGUUCACCCGAAGGCGUUGCGCUAACUCAGUAAUGAGAGGCAGGCGACCACGGUGGGCUUAGCGACUGGGGUGAAGUCGUAACAAGGUAAGCGUAGACGU
rnacentral:rRNA from 1 species